UACAGAGGUGGCAAGCGUUGUUCGGAUUUACUGGGCGUAAAGGGCGCGUAGGCGGCAAUUCAAGUCAUCUGUGAAAUCUCCGGGCUUAACUCGGAAUGGUCAGGUGAUACUGCUUUGCUAGAGUGCAGAAGGGGCAAUCGGAAUUCUUGGUGUAGCGGUGAAAUGCGUAGAUAUCAAGAGGAACACCUGAGGUGAAGACGGGUUGCUGGGCUGACACUGACGCUGAGGCGCGAAAGCUAGGGGAGCAAACGGG
rnacentral:rRNA from 1 species